AACAUUUAAUUAAUAUUACGCUUUAACAAGCGCGUAAUGAGAACAAUACGUCUGCUAACUCAUACCUACUUGUUUGUUUUAUUACUUCAGUGCCUAGUACGAAUUAUGAAUUAGUUUUGAAUCGGCGACCCUAUAUAUUUUAUAUGUAUAGAGGACCUUAAGUGGUAUUAAGGUCACAGUGGGACAAUAAAAAAAACUCUUUAACGCCAUUGAAUAUAUAGGUCAUAAUGAGCAACUUUUAUUAUGGGACCAAUCCCGGAAUCGCAAAAAAUAAAUUACUCUCCCAUAGAAAAUGUCAAGGUCAGACAGCCAAAAUGUAUGAAUUAGCCACUUUAUUUUUCGCGAUUUCGGGGUUAGUUCCAUGGUAAAAGUUGCUUAGUACGACCUAUAUAAUAUUCACCCCAUAAAUGAUUGCAGGUGACUUAAUAAACACCGUAAAAUAUAAAAUAGGAGAAACUUUAUUCAAAAGCGAUUCAUUACAACUUAACUAUAACAUUCAUACAUGUACGUAACAUCUUCACAUGUCUAAAGUCUCUUCAAAGCGUGAUUGAAGAUGAAGGUCUACCUUUUACAUUGUUUUCUUAGUCUCUUUAAGAAGAAGCGAUUUACACAAAUUACUAUGGAACAGCAUCAAUGAAACACGAUCAAGGCGCUGAUUCUAUUUUAACAAUUUGAUAUUGUUUUCAUUUUAGUUUGAUACGACGUUGAGACUUAACAGUUUUGAAUGAUUAAUGGUUAGUUUCACUAGACUUAAAUCGACCGGGAUAUGAACCGUGAUUACCUUUUAUAUUGUUUUUGACCUCCCGAUAUUUUGACGCAUACCAUGCAUCCUGUUCACAGGUAAUUGGAGAUAGCGGAUGGGUGUCAAAGUUGUGUAGACCGCGCUUGAUCUACGCUCAUUCGUGCGUACGGUUCAUAUCCCGGUCGAUUUAAGACGUUGAACCUUGUCAUCAGGCAUCUGAAGCACACCAAUAAGUGACUCCUGAUUCAUGUUCACGGUCAAGUUCGUAUAAAUACUUAACAUGAUAUCUAUAUCAAAUUAAUCCAAACUAAUCGGCCUCUUAUUCGGCUGUCAGUCUCACACCUCUUCACUACCUUUUGUUAUACCUUUUUGUAAUGGAGUUGAACUAGAAAUAAUUCCCUGACCUAAUUGAAGAUUCUUUUCAAAUCAUAAUCGUACGACAAGAUAGCAAGUAAAAAGAUUACUCUUACAAAUUGAUCUGUUCCAAUGAAUCUAGUGGUUAAAGUAAACAGAAUAAAAAACAGUUUUCCAUUAAAUACUUAUUUCUUUGAUUUUAUUGCCUUUUGUUCUAUUUAGGGGUUUUACUUUUUCUCUAGAUAAUUUAUGAUUGGUUUAAUUUAUUUUGAUUUAUGUUCCAUUAUAUUUGCAGGAAGGAAGAGGUACGUAUAUAAUACAGAACGUUCAAAAUACUAGUGUAAGUGUAGAAAGCCAAGAGUAUGGGUGCUUGUAAAUUUUAGUACCUAAAUAACAACUUUUUCCUAUAACUAGUACCAAGAACGUGAACGUGAACGUGAACGUGGCGACUUGAUCGAGACGUUCAAAAUAAUUCACGGAUACUACGACUGUCCAGAACUAAGCGACCUCUUCACUCGAAAUCCAAACACGCGCACAAGAGGACACUAUCUUAAACUAGUAACAAGAAUAAGAAUAAGAAUAAGAAUAAGAAAUAUUUAUUAGCACAAAAAGUUACAAAGUUUAGAUUAAUAUUUAAUUGUACUCACAGAAAAUUGCGCUAAAAGGUCUUCACUCAGCUUGAUGUCCCGAAGUUAGUCUUACGACACACAACAAAGCAUAAAACAAAUAUCAGCAAAAACUUUAUUGCAAACCGAAUAGUAAAUGCCUGGAACAAAUUACCCUCUGAAGUUGUGAACUCUUGUAGUGAGAUGAAUCAAUUUAAAAACAAUCUUGACAGACUAUCUAAGCAGUGAAAUCGUGCUAAGUGAACUCUGAUUUAGACGUACCAGCAUCAGCUGCCUGUCUAAAACUAAAUAAUAAUAAUAAGUAGUACAUUUGCCAUAGUUGUAUAUACACACACAUUGAUGUACACAUGAUAUAUUAUGCGCACAUUAGAUAUAAAAUGAUUUCCCUACUAUAGGGAGCGUGCAUAAACUUUAGGGGGCAACACAGAAGCGAGCUGUAAAUGUAAAGUUUAUGCUUCUAAUGUAGCCCGCAUGAUAGCAGAUCCUACUUUGCACAUAAAACGUACUAGAACGGUAGAUGGCAGCACUUGCUCUGGCGGAAAGUGUCAAUGUAAUAUGUUUAUGUUUCCGACACAGGCCACAAGAUGGCAGACCCUCCAAAGCGCACGGUCUCUAUGGCAUGGCCACCCCGUGAUAUUAAAUUCGGCGCUUCGGUCAACGUUUGAUGAUACACAAAUGCUAAUUAUACACGCCAUGGACACGCUUUGCGCUCAAAUCUAUCUAAGUUGCAAGCAGGCUGCACUUGAUCGUCAAAAUUUACAAAUGAUGAUGACGUGCGGUCUAAAUAAUUGGACAAUAAUCAGUAUUCAAUAGGACGAGGUUCAUUUUUAACGGUCACGCGAAUCAUUGAAUCAUUAUUACCUUUAACUGGGUUUAAAUACGACGCGGAUAACGAAGGACAGUCAUUGCAUCUGCUGUUUUAGAGACUGCCGCAAUGACGCUACGAACUAUGAUUCUUCUGUUCCUGAUAUCUUCGUCAAUGACAAACAACGAUGUAGCGUCUCAGACAACAGAAGCAACUUCUCAAGUAACCCUGAGUUUAGAACAACAAAGACUUAUAGCUUUCUUAAACGCAUUGAAUGGAUAUUCGAACACCACUAGGUUACUUGUACUUGGGAAGAAAUAAAUUUAUUUUUGUAUUAAUGGAACAAUAUGAAAAAAAUAAAUUAUUAGUAUUACGUUUGAUGUGUGAAAAUAAAGUUUUUUUAUUAGUGCCGUGUUACUAAUUAAUAAUUCUUAA